rnacentral:lncRNA from 1 species
GUGACAGUGGAGAAGAUGAAGUAGAAAAAAGGAAUACAAGCAAGGUACUGUCUGAGUUACAAGAAGAUUAUACAAGAAGAGAGUCUGGGAUGGUUUCCAAGACAAAACUAUGUUUGAGCUGAAUCUUGAAUGUGACCAUCAGCAAGCCAAGUAGACAGGUUGAAGACAAUGCAGUAGUGAAAUAAAGGAUGUUUCAGAAAGAAUGGACAUAUCCCAUAUGGAAAAAGGGAACAGCCCAUAGUAUUUAGGCCUAUAUGGAAUAUGAAUAAAUUUG